rnacentral:rRNA from 1 species
UCCGGAAUUAUUGGGCGUAAAGCGCUUGUAGGCGGCUUUUCAAGUCUCGUGUGAAAUCCCCAGGCUUAACCUGGGAAGUGCGCGGGAAACUGGAGAGCUUGAGUGCCGGAGAGGGUCGCGGAAUUCCCGGUGUAGAGGUGAAAUUCGUAGAUAUCGGGAGGAACACCAGUGGCGAAGGCGGCGAACUGGACGGACACUGACGCUGAGACGCGAAAGCGUGGGGAGCAAACAGG